GAGUUUAUCGUGGCUCAGAUUGAACGCUGGCGGCAUGCCUUACACAUGCAAGUCGAACGGCAGCACGGGAGCUUGCUCCUGGUGGCGAGUGGCGAACGGGUGAGUAAUGCAUCGGAACGUAUCCUGGAGUGGGGGAUAACGUAGCGAAAGUUACGCUAAUACCGCAUAUUCUGUGAGCAGGAAAGCGGGGGACCUUCGGGCCUCGCGCUCUUGGAGCGGCCGAUGUCGGAUUAGCUAGUUGGUGAGGUAAAGGCUCACCAAGGCGACGAUCCGUAGCAGGUCUGAGAGGAUGAUCUGCCACACUGGAACUGAGACACGGUCCAGACUCCUACGGGAGGCAGCAGUGGGGAAUUUUGGACAAUGGGGGCAACCCUGAUCCAGCCAUGCCGCGUGAGUGAAGAAGGGCC
rnacentral:rRNA from 1 species